rnacentral:lncRNA from 1 species
GGCAAUUUUGUAAAAUCCACGCACCCCUAUCUUCUUCUCUUCUUUGUCCUCUCACAAUUCCACCUUACACCACCAUUCUUCUCACCACCACCACCACCACCAUCCUCCUCUGUUGUUGUUCUCUACAGACCUCGAAGUGACGAUGCUGGUGAGAUGAUUGACGACUGGAUCUGAAACGAAGACCACGAGAGAUGACUGACGACUGGAUCUGAAACGAAGACCACGAGAGAUGACGAAAGUGAGAGAUCGAAAAUCCAGUCAUCGCCGUGAUAUUUAAAAUUCAGUCAAUCACCAUCACUAUUAGUCUUUUCCAUUAGACACAUCCUAACUUACGGCGGACGGUGGUUGUUGUGGUGGCGUUUUUACACUGGGAGCUUUGAAGAAGACAAUUGAAGAGGAAGGAGAUGGUGGUUACAACCACCGAGAGAGAAG